rnacentral:rRNA from 1 species
UACGAGGGGGGCAAGCGUUGUUCGGAAUUAUUGGGCGUAAAGGAUGCGUAGGCGGACAUUUAAGUCAGAUGUGAAAUACCCGAGCUUAACUUGGGUGCUGCAUUUGAAACUGGGUGUCUAGAGUGCAGGAGAGGUAAGUGGAAUUCCUAGUGUAGCGGUGAAAUGCGUAGAGAUUAGGAAGAACACCAGUGGCGAAGGCGACUUACUGGACUGUAACUGACGCUGAGGCAUGAAAGCGUGGGGAGCAAACAGG